rnacentral:misc_RNA from 1 species
UCCGGUUUGUCACCGGCAGUCUCGCAUGAGUCCCCAACUAAAUGCUGGCAACAUGCGACGGGGGUUGCGCUCGUUGCGGGACUUAACCCAACAUCUCACGACACGAGCUGACGACAGCCAUGCACCACCUGUGAACCUGCCCGUGAGGGAAGCCGUGUUUCCACGGCGAUCAGGCACAUGUCAAGCCCAGGUAAGGUUCUUCGCGUUUCGUCGAAUUAAACCACAUGCUCCGCUGCUUGUGCGGGUCCCCGUCAAUUCCUUUGAGUUUUAGCCUUGCGGCCGUACUCCCCAGGCGGGGCACUUAAUGCGUUAGCUGCGGCACGGAACUCGUGGAAUGAGCCCCACACCUAGCGCCCAACGUUUACGGCGUGGACUAC